AGCUGGGUCCCGCCGUCGCUGCUCUCUUUGUGCGACGGUCUGAGUCCAUCAGUUUGGGAAUGGUGCGGUGCCCCUCGGAGCAGCUGGGGCUCCCUCCCCUACACCCAGGGGAGGCGGCGGCCCCGGCGUCCUGCGCUGUCUUCGCACGGCUUCCUGCGUGCCCCUGGUCCUCGCAGGCUGGUCCGCAACACCACGAGGAUGUUUUAAGAUGUCCGCCGGUGCGUUACCGUUGAAUGAACGUGAGUAUUAGGUGUGAGAUCCUUCUCAUUGCGUCUCACCAUCUUGUCUCCAAGGCGCUCUCUUUCAUGGGGCAAGUAUAGAGUCUGUUUUGUAGUGAACACGGGAAGCAGUGCAAGUAUUUUACCUGGGACUUUCCAAGGACUACCUUUUUUUGGUUCACAUUAAAAAAUCCUUUGUAACUCCCCAUGUUUUUGUCCUAGCCUCGUUAAACCUACUUUCCUAUUGUACGCUCCUACGUUCUGGGUUCCCUUGGUGGAGGUUUUUUUUUGUUUUUGUUUUUUUUCCAGUUCUGAGGUGUGUUCCCCCCCC